rnacentral:rRNA from 1 species
CUACGGGAGGCAGCAGUGAGGAAUUUUGCGCAAUGGGGGCAACCCUGACGCAGCAACGCCGCGUGAGUGAAGAAGGCCUUUGGGUCGUAAAGCUCUGUCAACAGGGAAGAAGUUACUUCAUAUUAAUAGUAUGUAGUAUUGACGGUACCUGUGGAGGAAGCAUCGGCUAACUCCGUGCCAGCAGCCGCGGUAAUACGGGGGAUGCAAGCGUUAUUCGGAAUCAUUGGGCGUAAAGGGCACGCAGGCGGCUCUGUCAGUCAGAUGUGAAAGCCCGGGGCUCAACCCCGGACGUGCAUUUGAAACAGGAGAGCUUGAGUACGGUAGAGGAAAGCGGAAUUCCUGGUGUAGAGGUGAAAUUCGUAGAUAUCAGGAGGAACACCGGUGGCGAAGGCGGCUUUCUGGACCGAAACUGACGCUGAGGUGCGAAGGCGUGGGUAGCGAACAGGAUUAGAUACCCCUGUAGUC